rnacentral:tRNA from 1 species
GAGGGUAUAUCUCAGGGGCAGAGCGCGUGCUUAGCAUGCACAAGGUCCUGGGUUCCAUCCCCAGCACCUCCA